rnacentral:tRNA from 1 species
UGGGAUGUAGCUAAGUGAUAAAGUGUUUGCUUGCCUAGCAUGCAUAAGGCCUGUGUUCAAUUCCCAGUACCACAA